rnacentral:rRNA from 1 species
ACGAAGGUCCCGAGCGUUGUUCGGAAUCACUGGGCGUAAAGGGAGCGUAGGCGGCGUGGCAAGUCAGACGUGAAACCCCGGGGCUCAACCCCGGAACUGCGUCCGAUACUGCCAUGCUCGAGCAUUGGAGAGGCAGCUGGAACUCUUGGUGUAGCAGUGAAAUGCGUGGAUAUCAAGAGGAACACUCGUGGCGAAAGCGAGCUGCUGGACAAUUGCUGACGCUGAGGCUCGAAGGCCGGGGGAGCGAAAGGGAUUAGAUACCCUGUAGUCCCGGCAGUAAACGGUGCACGCUUGGUGUGAGGGGAUUCGACCCCCCUCGUGCCGGAGCUAACGCGUUAAGCGCACCGCCUGGGAAGUACGGUCGCAAGACUA